UGGCUGAGCUCGGUUUAAGGUACCUGACUCGAAAUCAGGCGAUGGAGAAAUCCAUCCGGGGGUUCGAAUCCCUCCCCUUCCGCCA
rnacentral:tRNA from 1 species